GCGAUAGUGGCGGAAUGGCAGACGCGCACGUUUAAGGGACGUGUGGGAGACCAUACGGGUUCAAGUCCCGUCUGUCGCACCA
rnacentral:tRNA from 4 species